rnacentral:miRNA from 14 species
CACCUUCUGCUGGAGACCUACAUAAGGACAUUAGAAGAAGGAAGACUCUCUCUUCUUUGCCUUCCUGCCUUGUGGGACUGAGUAACUACUAGAUCCUUAGACUUCCAUUCACAGCUG